AACGCUAGCUACAGGCUUAACACAUGCAAGUCGAGGGGCAGCACAGUGUAGCAAUACAUGGGUGGCGACCGGCGCACGGGUGCGUAACGCGUAUCCAACCUUCCCGAUACUCUUGGAUAGCCUUCCGAAAGGGAGAUUAAUACAAGAUGGUGUUUCACUUUCGCAUGUUAUUGAAACUAAAGAUUUAUCGGUAACGGAUGGGGAUGCGUGACAUUAGGUAGAUGGCGGGGUAACGGCCCACCAUGCCCACGAUGUCUAGGGGUUCUGAGAGGAAGGUCCCCCACACUGGAACUGAGACACGGUCCAGACUCCUACGGGAGGCAGCAGUGAGGAAUAUUGGUCAAUGGUCGGAAGACUGAACCAGCCAAGUAGCGUGAAGGAUGAAGGUUCUAUGGAUUGUAAACUUCUUUUAUACGGGAAUAAAACGUCCCACGUGUGGGAUCUUGUAUGUACCGUAUGAAUAAGCAUCGGCUAACUCCGUGCCAGCAGCCGCGGUAAUACGGAGGAUGCGAGCGUUAUCCGGAUUUAUUGGGUUUAAAGGGAGCGUAGACGGGAGAUUAAGUCAGUUGUGAAAGGCUGCGGCUCAACCGCAGCACUGCAGUUGAUACUGGUUUCCUUGAGUGCGGUUGAGGUGUAUGGAAUUCGUGGUGUAGCGGUGAAAUGCUUAGAUAUCACGAAGAACUCCGAUUG
rnacentral:rRNA from 1 species